CUCAAGGCUGCUAGAGCCAAACAGGCUCUGGCCUAUCAGGAGUCCCAAUAAAACUUCAGAUAUCUGCUAAUACGAAGAGGUGGUGAAGGACAAUCCUCAAUUUAUGCAUUGCAGCACAUAGAGGAAGUGAUCUCAAAUCACUUCCUCCCAGCACUUGUGAAUGGGAAUCCACACUGUAGUAGACUCUUGCUGCUCCUGUCCUUGACCUGUACCUGGCCAGCCUGGUCCCCACUGGAACCCAGGGAAGCCACCCACACUGCUAGAUAUACAUGGAAAUGCAGAAUAACCCUCCCCUCAUACAAAUAAUACGAACAGC